GGUGCUGCACGUGCAGGCCCGCCCACACUGCUUCUCAUUGGUUAGUGGCGUGAAGUCAUGACGUCGAUUAUAGCAAGUUUUCAUUUCCGAUGGUUAUCGCUGCAUGAGGUGAUGAAAUCCCCCGGCCUGUGGAUUAUUUGACCAAGAUGCCACCUGACCUUACAUCCUCUGGCAGAUCCUGAUGGGAGUCGUUACAAAGAGGACAAUAUGGCUUUAUGGUGACUUUCACUGACAUGCAAGGUUUUCAGAGACAUUUUCAGCAAGCCCAAGUUCAGAGAAAAGGUCCCCUUUGUAUGUCCAAACAGUGUUGUGAACUGGAGUGCAUUUUCCAGACAAUAUGGGCAAGAGCUCCGGGUGCCUUACUCGUUGACUUUGAAAUAUACAAGGACUGCCCACCUGGAUAUGUAGGUGAUGGCAGAAGGGGAGUCCUGAAUGGGUUUUAUUCCGACAAGGAGGUUCAGUGCUAUUGCUCAUUUGAUUGUUUUUUCAAUGAUGGAGGGGAACUUCAGGCUGUGUAGAUUGUGUGUGUACGGUUAAUGUACGUGAUUAUCUGUAUGUGUGUAUUAUGUCUUUUAAACAAUUAUUUUUGUUUUGAAAUAAAAGUUAUCACUGGUAUGGGUUUGGUGUUUUUGAGUGGCAUGCAUACUAUGGGAUACAGAGAUUGACAAUGUACUGUAUGUAGUUUAACUUCAUACUACUUUAUAGGCAUAAAUGUUUAGUAAUA